rnacentral:rRNA from 1 species
ACUGAACGCUGGCGGCAGGCCUAACACAUGCAAGUCGAGCGGAGCGGCGGACGGGUGAGUAAUGCCUAGGAAUCUGCCUGGUAGUGGGGGAUAACGUCCGGAAACGGGCGCUAAUAUCGCAUACUACCAGAUGAGCCUAGGUCGGAUUAGCUAGUUGGUGGGGUAAAGGCCUACCAAGGCGACGAUCCGUAACUGGUCUGAGAGGAUGAUCAGUCACACUUGAACUGAGACACGGUCCAGACUCCUACGGUAGGCAGCGGUGGAGAAUUUUGGACAAUUGGCGAAAGCCUGAUCCAGCCAUGCCGCGUGUGUGAAGAAGGUCUUCAGAUUGUAAAGCUCUUUAAGUUGGGAGGCGUUACCAACAGAAUAAGCACCGGCUAACUUCGUGCCAGCCGCCGCGGUAAUUC